GAAUGAAUUCCUAUUCAUAUGUAGGAUAGGAAUCAAUCCUUCACAUUUCAAAGGGAAAAAAACAUUAGCCUAGACUCAAUGGAAAAAAUCUUAUCCUAUGAAUCAAGUGACAUCUCUUUUCCUAUAGGAAGUGAGAUGCAUGCCACCUCACUUCCUAUGAUUUUCCUAUUCCUAUGAUAUUUCUACCCUAUGAACCAAAGGAGGCCUAAUAAUGCAAUUUCUGCGCGUCCAGGUUGGUUGGCCUCUCUAUUAUGAUGAGCCGGCCCAUUAUUGGCAAGCAACCUGUGAGCAAUGCCGAGAAGCCACAACCUCGGGUUCCUCAUACAAUGAGAGGCUCGGCAUGGGUGGCGGAUAGAAUUUAGUUGAAAAGAUGGUACAUAUGUAUAGGGCCACAUCUCUUAUAGAUUUCAGUAUAGAUGCUCUACACAUUGGUCUCACUCCGCACAUUGUAGUAUAUGACACUUGUUGCAGAUUACAGAUCCUCCUUCCAUGUCAUAUUAUAAUCUGAUUGCUCGCGCAGUGCAGUCAGAAAAUUCUUGGUUUGGGCAUGCAUUAAAUAAUUGUUAGUGUCAACCAUAUUGAAUUGGCGUUACUGUGUUCAUGAUACACUUCCACAAUACAUAAUUAUUUUAAUGUGAUGCUACACAUUCUGGGAGAAAAAUAAACGGCAAGGUCUUCCCCAAAAGUUAUUUCAUUCUAACGGUUUAAUCAAUUCGUUUAGGCGACACUAGGUGACCUUAAUACUUCUGGUUGGAGCGUCCUCGAAAGCAAAGCUGGCGAAGAGAGGCGGCGGUGCUUUGUGUGUUGAAUCCUUCAAACCAUCCCAUGCAUCGGCUGGAAAUUGAGUUAGAGGAGGAUGUGAAUAUCACCUUCUCUGUUAAAGGCCAAAGCUCGAUUUAUUUGUCAGGAUAUUACAUCCUUACGAAUCCCAAGACUUGCACUACUAAAAGAAAUUCAUUCAGAAAACGAAAGUAUGAUCAAGAGGUCUCGGACAGGUAUAUCAUCUUUUUCAACCUAAUACGGGGGGCAGUGUUGAUGGUGUUGCCAUGCAAAGUAAUACUCCCAAAAUAAUACCAGCUACCAUCAUGUAAAUAAUCAUAAUAGCCGCUAAGAAUCCUAAGGCAACAUGAGCAUGAUACCGAUAAAACAAUAUGAGCAUAUCAUGAACAUAGGAAUCUGUCGAUACUAACAUGCAACAUAAUAACACUACAUGCACCAAUUAUUCUGCUCGGGUUAUCUCGCAACCAUCACAUGCAGCACUUACCAACCUCGGACAUCACACGAUCAUCUCAGGAUCAACUCAAGCUUGGUAUAAAUAAUACCGUAGUAAUCAUUAAAUGACCACAAGGAGCUUGAUCUUUACCCAUGAUUCUCGCAUAACAUCACGAAUAUCCAACAACUCGGUAUCCUCGAUACCACGGUGAUCAUUCCGACGAUCACAACCAUGACCAACAAUUGGUCUUAAACAGUGAUCAUUCCGACGACCACAACCAUGACAACACUUGGUCUCAAACGGUGAUCAUUCCGGCGAUCACAACCAACUUAACUCCUCAUCGAACUGGGGUUGUCAUUAAUCAAGUUAUUAUUAAUACUGUUGACUCACGGUGGGACCGACACGAACUGGGCCCUUAUCCGCGGGUGCGGCUAUCGAUAGAUUUAAUAUACACUCUGCAGAGGUAGCACACUGUACCCACACCACGGAACCCAUGGCCUCGUACUCCUAUUCGGGUGGACCAACGGCGUUCCGACAAAACCGAUCUACUGUCGUGACACUCUCCCGGCCACUUCGACCCACUCCCAACUGGGCUAGUCCUGGGUGGCCCCGUGUCUACCAAAGACACCCCGACCACCGUCGUGGUCAAACGUCCCUCACUGGGACCGGAUCCAUAAAAAUAAAAACAACGGGCACACAAGGUUAUGUCCGCCUACCUGAUCAGGGUAAGCACGCCCAUAACCUUCCCUCGUGGGAGGCACCGGCGAGACGCACGACAAUAGACCCAGUUAGGACCUUACCCAUAUGGUAAGCGUGGUUGCACUGGUCAGUUUCGAUUUGGCGGCACCAUGGCUCAGCCAACAGUUGUUCAAGUUCAAUUAAAUCCGGUUAAACUUGAAUAUAAAAUGUUGAGCCAUGAUAAAAUAACAUGAUGCAAUUACAAUGCAUGAGCAUAAUAUCAACAUAAGCACGGGAUGCAACAUAACUGUCCAUCAUAUCAAUUAUGAAAUAAUCUCCAACUGAACAUGGCAUAAUGGCGACCAUAAAUAUUACAAGUGCAACACUACUCAUAGUAUAACAUAACAUGACCACUAGCAUCAACCAUAAAUAACAUGCAAGAACUUAUCAAUAACGUCACCGAGUAACACUUAACCAACUAACAGCAAAGGAACAACGCAUAUUAACAGUACUCGAUAACCAACGUUAAUCAUGCACCGAAGAGCAAGACCAACCCAACAUGUAGUACUAUCAAGCAUGGCAAUAUGAAAGUAAUACUAGCAACUAGCAGAGCAUGAUAACCAGGUGCAUAACAACAUAGCAAACAAGUAAGCACAAUCCCAAAAGCAACGAUAACCAUAUUUUAAACAAGCAAUCAUUUAAUAAAUAUUCAAGUUGAAAACCAUGGCUACUGCAUGACUAUCAUGCAAAUGGGUAUUGUGGCUUGCCUGGGGGUGUAGAAGGCACCGGGGAGAAGUGCGGUGAAGUCGCAGAAAGAUUUGCUAGAAACAGUUCUCUCUCAAAGGGGCUGUUUACGUGCAAGGGCAAAAAGGUCAUUUUCACAGUGUAAAACCAUAGUGAAAAUGAAACCAACAGAACGGGCUCGACGAGACAAAGAAGUGGGAUUUGGAUUCACCUCAUUUGGAGUUACGGUUGAAAAGUUAUGAGGAGUUGAAAAUCGGGGACCUAUCGGUGAAACUUUUUUAGCAAACAGGCCCCUGGUGGAUAAACAGAAAGCGCCUUCUCUGAAAAUACAUUUCCCAGAGAGGAAAACGCAUUCUUUCCCGAAGAAUAAAUGGAAUACAUCUUCGAUAAGGGAAAGCAUACUCACAGAAGUACGUUUCCACUUAUCCACGCUGGCAAGCGCGGGGCCGGGCCUUGAGCAGCUGACAUAGGGGGCUCACGCGCAGGGGGAGGGGGCCAGCUAGGCGUCGUCUUCCUCCUUGCUGCUCCCCCGAUGGGAAUCAUAGGAGCAGAGGCAGGGGAGAGGCCGGCGAUGGCCCGGGCAGCUCUGGCAGUCCCUGGCCAAGCCGUGGCCACCGACGGGCGCAGGAGGAAUGGACACACCCGUCCCCAAGGUCAACCGGCACUGAGGAGGGGCGGGACAAGCGCAAGGAGAGGGGAACAGAGGCGGCUCCGGCGGCGGUUGAACUUGAAGACGGCGCCUUCUGCUAUUGCGGCGAGGGGGCGAGGGGUGGAAGAGGUUCGUCGGGGUCUGGGUGGGCUUCUAGUGGUGAAGAGAUGGAGGGAGAGGCAUUGACUCGCUCGGAUUUGAGCGGAGCCGAACGGCGGCCAUGGUGGCAAUGAAGGUCGAGGAGGGGCUCUGGUGCUCGGGAAAGUCGACGUGGAGGGGGAGUAGAGUGCGGGGAGGCCAGUGGUGUGCUUGAAUAGCUCGGGGAAGGCCUAUAUAUAGGCGGGGUGAGGACGUGCCGCACUGGCGUCGCCGCGGACACGCGUCUGGCGCCGCGGACACGUGUGCACGCACAUGGGCUCGUCGGGAAGGCGAACGGGAGAUGCAGGGAGGAGCCCAUGGGGCAGAGGCGGCCAACGGAGCACGGGGAGGAAGAAGACGACGACAAACAGAACCAAAUGGCCACUGUUCACCCGUGGUCACGCGGCGGUUCGCGUUGGUGAGCAAGCGGACGGAGGGGGAGAGGGGUCCAGGUGAUCAGCGACGACGAGAGGAAAACAAUGGACAUGCUCACGCGCGCUAAGACGACGAGAGGAAAGCGGACGAAGCAGAAACGGCGCCCUGGACGCGGCCACUGCGCACAGAGCGCGUGCACAGGCACGCCAUUGUCGUGGUCACCAUGUGAAUGAGGGCAUUCAAUGCUCAACAGCACCCAAAAUGUUGUCUAGCACAUAGUCCUUCCAAAGUAGGUUGUAACUGUGGUGGUAGAUUUGUUAAAAGUGACAUGGUUAAAAGGCAGUUACCACCUGAAGUUUACUGCAGUAAACUUGAUCGUGUGCUGCUGCUCAACAGAGACUUGAUUGAGGUCAAUGGAGUUGUCUGGUAGAUUGAGGUAAAGAAGGACAUAUAUCCUGGUAAUUUUGAGAAGAAUUGGACCACUAAUUAAUAUAGUUGCUUUACAACUAAGUAAUCUGGUCCAGAAUGAAGAUGAUGAUGAUGCUCUCAAAUGGAGGAGCCACUUGAGCUGAACUUUGGCAAGGCGGGCUUAUUUGGCCAUAUGAAGAUGCUGCAAAAGGUUUCAUACCAAUUGGAUAAACCAAAAUGGUACUUCCUUCACAAACAUUUCCAUUGACCAGAAACUUGCAAAAAUUCUAGAGGAAUAAUGGCUUGAUGAAACAUGCCCAAAAUGGGUGGAGGUAGGUUAUAUGGAUAAUAGAAGGCCUAGAAAAAUUGGCAUCCAUAAUGGAGCAAGAUACAAUAUACUUGCUUCACAAACUGAAAUUUUGGACAGAAUCAAAGAAUUGAUGGUGAGCUCACAUGGAGGCAUGACAUGAGCUCUACGUAGGUGGAGAGUGAUGAUUUGGUUAUAUGAAGGGCCAUGCAAAAUUGCAACUCAUUUGGAUAUGCCUAGCUUGUACUUCGUUCAUAACCACUUCCCUUAGACAGGAAUUUGGAAAAUCAUAAUUAAAUAAUUACUAGGCAAAUGAGGUUGCACUUUCGCAUGUGGCAAUGAUAUGGACAGGAAAAGGUGUCCAAGGAGUUUGAGGUCAAUUGGGAAAAGAUAAAUGGCACUUGCUUCACAUUCUGCCAUUUUGGGCAGAAUAGGAAAUGAAUUAUUUGAGCAUGAUGGGGAACAUGGCAAAUGAAAUAUUUUUUCCAUAUUUGAGAAAGAUGUGACCCAAACAAUUUAUGAGAAUUAUUUGGGAAUUUUAGGAGUGAUGGAAAUAAAGGUUGCUUCACAACCUAGGGCAAAUUUGGUUAUUCCUUUAAUAGAAAAGGAAUAUUCCCAAUAAAAAAGAAUAUUGGGAUUUGGGCUAGGAUGAAAAUGACAGGGUCUAGGGAAGGAUUUGGGAAUGACACGCCACUUCGGAAGCAAAGAAGAGGGCAUCUUCUUCAGUUUCCAGACCACAAAGCCACGGAAAAAGAAAACUCGAGCAAAAACCUCAGAGAAACAAAAGAAAAAGAAAGGGCCAAAAAUCAGGCUGUCACAAACCUUACCCCCUUAAAGAAAUCUCGUCCUCGAGAUUUGGUUGCUCAGGGAACAAGUAUGAAGAUACUGACUUAAGGAAACCGUUUCCAACAAGGGUAUCUUUUUUCUUAUUUUUGUUCCCACUAAAUUUUUAUCUGACUGGCCCGGGGGUGUUUUGCUUUAAUAUAUCCAUAUUCUGACACAUAUUACCUUGCUUGUUCAUGCUUAUCCAGGCUCCAAUUUCUUUUUAGAUCUGCUGACUUAGCUGACUGUGAUUGAUCCUCACGACUGAAAUAUAUGUCGGUCUCACAAAUCCAAGAGUGAUUUCCGCUGGGUGUGUCAUCCGGCUCUGACAAUCUUUCAUGAAGUGGUGAUCAGAUUUUUCUAGUGGACACCCAAGCUCUAACUCCUUGCAUUGGGUUUCUCCACUAAAUGCAGGUCCUUCGGGUUCAAAAUAGUGAAUUGGGUCAUAACCGCUUUCCUGACAGAUUCUGGCUUACCGCGGAAGUUUCGGAAUCAUCUUAACUGGUUCCACUGUCUUGAGUAUCGGAUCCAUACCAAAUAUUUAAUUGUUGCCUGCAUCACUGGUCUUGUUCCUUCAUUAUUGUUCUCUUGGUCUGGAUCCUUGGCUGAAAGAGCUAGGUCAUAUUGCUUCUUUGUAUUACCAUAGGUAUGGUCGGUACAAUUUUUCAGCAAUCGUAGCCUAUACUUAUUUUUCUGACAAGGUACCCCAUUAAAUGGCAGGUUCAACACUCCUCAAGUUCUGACUGAUUCUUGCUUCUGACCAAAAUGUUGCGGAUCUGAUUGUUGGGGUUUACUGCCAUAUGUUGUCAAUUCACAACGUACUACCUUGUACCAAUGACUUACUGAGGAAGAUUGGCUGGCUUGUGCUUGAAACUUUCAUCGGACAGCUUGCUGAAGAAGACUGGGUAUCGUGCUUCAGAAGCUUACCCCCUUAAAGACUUUGCUGGGGAAAGACUCAGUACCUUAUGCCGGAAGCUUUUCUGGUUGCCUACUAAAGAAGACAGAGUACCUUGUGCGGGAAAUCAUCCAUGUAUCGUACUGAGGAAGAUAGAUGAAUCUUGCCUUGGAAGCUUCUCGGGUAUCUUGCGAGGGAAAAUUGGGUUGCUUACACCAGAAGCUUCUUACUGUGAUAUGCGGACCAAUUUCCACAUAUAUAACCAUCUUACAAUUUUUGUUAUUGAUUUCUUGUAUGAAACGGGGUUUUGCAGGACUUCCUCCUUUCUGAGUACCUGUCAUAUUUUUGCUUGCUUCCAGGUACAUCGGGUUCCAAAAUCAUCCUCAACGAAAAAAUAAACUUGUUUCUGAGCCAUACCUUUGAUAAUAUUCUGUCAACCUUGCACACAAUUUAUCUUCUUGCUGAUUUGAUCAUUUCUGCUAUGAGAAGUGCAUGCUGAGAGAGACUUGACACUCAAUAACAUGAUCAGAUAUUCCCCAAUCUGAAUGCAGUCGGCUGAGAAUUCCAUAUUGUGGUGAGGAGUGCACGUUAAUGCAAACUUUAUACUGACAUUCCUUCCAGGAUUUCUUUUGUAUUCAGACGAGCUAUUUCCAAUUUCACUGCAGUCUGCUGACAAUUCCAUUCUGUUUAGCUGAGUUUCAGAAUAUACGCAUUUCUUGCUGACUCUUCGGGUCCGGUGUCGGCUGACGAGCAACUUUAAUAGGGGAAAUAUUUGUAACACCGAAGGCCCAAAGAAAGAAACAAAAGAAACAACUAAAACAAAAGCACAUAGGCAUACUACUAAUAUAAUUAAUCAAACAAUCAUCACAUAUUACUGCUACUCACACCAAAAUAUGCAUGAAAACCUAAGCACACAAAUCGCGCAGAAACUCUGGUAUUACAGUCUAAUAUGCUGGGGCGAUGUGCAUGAAAAUUAUAUCCAUGUGCCAAGCACUGGCUGAACAGUGGCCGGAUCAGGAUGGAUACACAUGUGAGAACGGACUUGACGAUCAAGUAGCGAGACACAAAAGUCAUGGCCACCUCUUCAUCAAGUGUACGAAGGGAAUCGUACCCGUCCAAAGAGUGAAAUGACAUGGCAAGAUAACGAUGGAAGACUGGGUUUAUUGGUAUUGCCCUUUUUUUGAUAACCAAGAUCAGUAAGGGUUGCCAAGGGAACGAGAUGGAGGGCAAUGGAUGAUGAUGUGGUCGCAUCACACCAAGGAGAAGGCAUGCUAAGAAAGAUGGUGCAGGCGGUGGACCGAAAAUGAUGCCACCUACACUCACAAGAUUAACCGUUAGCGACAAAAUAACAAUCUACAUGCAUGCUAUGCGUCAAACAAAUGCAACAAUCAAGUGCAACAAACCAACUGGGGUCUAUAGUACCGCUUUCUAACGUUUGCAUGGGCUAGGGCAUCCUACAGCCAGACCUGCUCUGAUACCAAGCCUGUGGCACCCCGGCUCAGAGAAAACCGGAACGCCCCGUAUUCCAGCCCAGAGAUCGAGGAGAAGUCUUCUGGAAUACGACACUGCUUAGCAUAGAACAAACCAGCUUUCUAUUAUUACACGAAUAUGAUUACAAGCUCUCCGAUAUUACAAUGAAUAACAUCGGCACGGCAACAUUACGCCAUCCUCAGUUGCUCUAUGCAAGCAGCAAAACAACUUGAAGCAGUGAAAUAACUCUAGCAGCAGAAAAACUAUUGGUAGCAGAACAACGACGAUGGUGGUAAACUCCACUCCGCAGGGACUCUGGCUGGAACGCUUAUCCUAACUCGCGAACACAGGAACAACACCAAACAAGUAAGCAAUCCUGGCACGACCUACAAGCUGGCAUGACACGCCAGGUCAGUACAUUGAAUGUACUUGCAAGCUCACAAUUAACCAGAAGCAUUCAAGACAAACAACAGCAUGGCAAUUACAGGUUAAGCAGGAAUUAACAUGAGAUCAUCAGGAUACCAUGGCAUGAACAACAUGACAUCGAAAGUAAUACUCCCAAAAUAAUACCAGCUACCAUCAUGAAAAUAAUCAUAAUAGCCACUAAGAAUCCAAAGGCAACACGAGCAUGAUACCGAUAAAACAAUAUGAGCAUAGCAUGAACAUAGGAAUCUGCCGAUACUAACAUGAAACAUGAUAACACUACAUGCACCAAUUAUUCUGCUCUGGUUAUCUCGCAACCAUCACAUGCAGCACUUACCAACCUCGUACAUCACAUGAUCAUCUCAGGAUCAAAUCAAGCUUGGUGUAAACAAUACCAUAGUAAUCAUUAAAAGACCACAAGGAGCUUGAUCUUUACCCAUGAUUCUCGCACAACAUCACGAAUAUCCAACAACUCGGUAUCCUCGAUACCACGGCGAUCAUUCCGUCGAUCACAACCAUGACCAACAAUUGGUCUUAAACAGUGAUCAUUCCGGCGAUCACAACCAUGACAACACUUGGUCUCAAACGGUGAUCAUUUCGGCGAUCACAACCAACUUAUCUCCUCAUCGAACCGGGGUUGUCAUUAAUCAAGUUAUUAUUAAUAUUGUUGACUCAUGGUGGGACCGACAUGAACUGCGCCCUUAUCCGCGGGCACGGCUAUCGAUAGAUUUAAUAUAUACUCUGCAGAGGUAGCACACUGUACCCACACCGAGGAACACAUGGCCUCGCACUCCCAUUCGGGUGGAGCAACGGCGUUCUGACAAAACCGAUCUACUGCCGUGACACUCUCCAGGCCACUCCGACCCACUCCCAACUGGGCUAGUCCUGGGUGGCCCCGUGUCUAUCAAAGACACCACGACCACUGUCGUGCUCAAACGUCCCUCACUAGGACUGGAUCCAUAAAAAUAAAAACAACGGGCACACAAGGUUAUGUCCACCUACCUGAUCAGGGUAAGCACGCCCAUAACCUUCCCUCGUGGGAGGCACUGGCGAGACGCACAACAAUAGACCCAGUUAGGACCUUACCCAUACGGUAAGCGUGGUUGCACUGGUCAGUUUCGAUCUGGCGGCACCAUGACUCAGCCAACAGUUGUUUAAGUUCAGUUAAAUCCGGUUAAACUUGAAUGCAAAAUGCCGAGCCAUGAUAAAAUAACAUGAUGCAAUUAUAGUGCAUGAGCAUACUAUCAACAUAAGCACGGGAUGCAACAUAACUGUCCAUCAUAUCAACUAUGAAAUAAUCUCUAACUGAACAUGGCAUAAUGACGAGCAUAAAUAUUACAAGUGCUACACUACUCAUAGUAUAACAUAACAUGACCACUAGCAUCAACCAUAAAUACCAUGCAAGAACUUAUCAAUAACAUCACCGAGUAACACUUAACCAACUAACAGCAAAGGAACAACGCAUAUUAACAGUACUCAAUAACCGACGUUAAUCAUGCACCGAAGAGUAUGACCAACCCAACAUGUACUACUAUCAAGCAUGGCAAUAUGAAAGUAAUACUAGCAACUAGCAGGGCAUGAUAACCAGGUGCAUAACAACAUAGCAAACAAGUAAGCACAAUCCCAGAAGCAUUUCCGAAACAACGAUAACCUUAUUUUAAAUAAGUAAUCAUUUAAUAAAUAUUCAAGUUGAAAACCAUGGCUACUGCAUGACUAUCAUGCAAGUGGGAUUGUGGCUUGCCUGGGGGUGAAGAAGGCACCGGGGAGAAGUGCGGUGAAGCCGUGGAAAGAUUUGCCAGAAAUAGUUCUCUCUCGGAGGGGCUGUUUACGUGCAAGGAAAAAAAUGUCAUUUUCAUAGUGUCAAAACAUAGUGAAAAUGAAACCAACAAAACGGGCUCGACGAGACGAAGAAGUGGGCUUUGGAUUCACCUCAUUUGGAGUUACGGUUGAAAAGUUAUGAGGAG
rnacentral:lncRNA from 1 species